AGUGAACGCUGGCGGUAGGCCUAACACAUGCAAGUCGAACGGCAGCACAGUAAGAGCUUGCUCUUACGGGUGGCGAGUGGCGGACGGGUGAGGAAUACAUCGGAAUCUACUUUUUCGUGGGGGAUAACGUAGGGAAACUUACGCUAAUACCGCAUACGACCUACGGGUGAAAGCAGGGGAUCUUCGGACCUUGCGCGAUUGAAUGAGCCGAUGUCGGAUUAGCUAGUUUGCGGGGUAAAGGCCCACCAAGGCGACGAUCCGUAGCUGGUCUGAGAGGAUGAUCAGACACACUGGAACGGAGACACGGUCCAGACUCCUACGGGAGGCAGCAGUGGGGAAUAUUGGACAAUGGGCGCAAGCCUGAUCCAGCCAUACCGCAUGGGUGAAGAAGGCCUUCGGGUUGUAAAGCCCUUUUGUUGGGAAAGAAAAGCAGCAGGUUAAUACCCCGCUGUUCUGACGGUACCCAAAGAAUAAGCACCGGCUAACUUCGUG
rnacentral:rRNA from 1 species